ensembl:snRNA U1 U1 spliceosomal RNA
UGAGUAACCGCUCAAGAGAUACCAUUAUCACCAUGGUGGUUUUCCCAGGGUAAGGUUCAUCCAUUGCACUCCGGGUGUGCUGACCCCUGCGUUUUCCCUCAAAUGCAGGAAACUCGACUACAUAAUUUGUGGUAGUGGGGGAUUGUGUUUGCGCUUUCCCCGG